CUUUCCGGUCAAUUUUCCAGUACUGUCCUGAACGGCGUAGUGGUAUAUAAAUAU
rnacentral:tRNA from 1 species